UGGGGAAUAUUGGACAAUGGGCGAAAGCCUGAUCCAGCCAUGCCGCGUGUGUGAAGAAGGUCUUCGGAUUGUAAAGCACUUUAAGUUGGGAGGAAGGGCAUUAACCUAAUACGUUAGUGUUUUGACGUUACCGACAGAAUAAGCACCGGCUAACUCUGUGCCAGCAGCCGCGGUAAUACAGAGGGUGCAAGCGUUAAUCGGAAUUACUGGGCGUAAAGCGCGCGUAGGUGGUUUGUUAAGUUGGAUGUGAAAUCCCCGGGCUCAACCUUGUAACUGCAUUCAAAACUUACUGACUAGAGUAUGGUAUAGGGUGGUGGAAUUUCCUGUGUAGCGGUGAAAUGCGUAGAUAUAGGAAGGAACACCAGUGGCGAAGGCGACCACCUGGACUAAUACUGACACUGAGGUGCGAAAGCGUGGGGAGCAAACA
rnacentral:rRNA from 1 species